CAGUCGCCGCGGGAAAACGUAGGGCGCAAGCGUUGUCCGGAAUUAUUGGGCGUAAAGAGCUCGUAGGCGGUCUGUCGCGUCUGGUGUGAAAUCCCGAGGCUCAACCUCGGGCUUGCAUCGGGUACGGGCAGACUAGAGUGCGGUAGGGGAGACUGGAAUUCCUGGUGUAGCGGUGGAAUGCGCAGAUAUCAGGAGGAACACCGAUGGCGAAGGCAGGUCUCUGGGCCGCAACUGACGCUGAGGAGCGAAAGCAUGGGGAGCGAACAGGAUUAGAUACCCGGGUAGUCCCUGUCUCUUAUAC
rnacentral:rRNA from 1 species